AGAGGCAAGAUUCUGCAGAGAUUUUAUUCUCCACUCAGAUUGAAAUCACAGCCGAUAGCAGUGGAGAGUUCAUCUGCAGGAGGGAUAAGAGUUACCCUCCACCAUUCACACAGGACUGUUCCAGAACUGCAGUCAGCAUUUCAGAACCAGCAGAGCAGUCUGUGCCGACAGUCAACUCCACAGCUCCAUCAGCCAAUCAGAGCUGUCCGUUGUCAGCGGACCAUUCUCCGUUAAUUCCAGAGGUGGUGAUGUGGACCGGAGGUGGAUUUUUAUUGGUCUAUAGCUUCACCAUCACCUGCAUUACUGUUGUUAUCUGGAAGCAGAAUCAGAAGCUGAAGAGAGACGAAGACACAAAGAUCUACAGCAACGUCAGACCUAAAGCAAUCAAGAAGUCUAAUAAAGUUUAAUAGCAGCUAAGGAGAAAAAACGCCACGAUUAAAGCUAUGAAUGUUUAGUGGAAGACGAUACUGAAUGUACAGAAGAGGAGUUUCUUUUAAACUGAGACAUGCAAAACCUACAUGAGCUAAAUCCUGCAGUAGAAAUAUGGUUUCUGCAGCAAUGAAUAAACUGAAAUCCAGAGUUCAGGAGUGGAAAAAAACGCCACGAUCCCUCAAAUAUACAAGAAACAGAAAGAUAUACAGAAAAUGUAACGACAGAUUGACUGGAAACAUGAUUUAAAACAGCUGUGCUAAUUUUUGAUUGAAAGUGAAUUUUUGUUUGAUUAAUGGAUCCUUCUGGGUGGAAAUGACGUAAACAAAGACGGAAAGAUUUUGCGUUAGAGAUGUUCUUGAUGAAUUUAGAGUAUUUUUAUGUUUUUUUUAUUUUUGAUAAAAUACCACAUCCAGAGUUAUUCUUCUUUCUCAGUAAUCGAUAUCAAUCUUCUAUCUUCCAGCCCAGCAGUCAAACAGCUCUUGUGAUAACUACCAGUGGUUCUGCAGGUCUUCACUGGGAUCUAGUUCCUGUUAGGGAUGAUCUCCAGCUCUCUGAGGUCUCUUGGUCUUCAGUUCCUCCACAGAUUCUCACGUCCAACAUCUUCUGAUUGUUCUGUCUACACCUUCUCUUCAGAACUUUGUCAUGUUGGAAGUUUGUCUGCAGACUGUCACAGUCUUUAACAUCAUCCUCUUUUCUCAUGAUGUUUACUUUCAUGAAACUUCCUGGUCCUUCCUCUGGAACCUGUUUGAUGCUGAAGAUGAUGUUCUCGGGGUUCAAAGCUUCUACUUUCCAUGUGUCCAAACAUUUUGCUCUCAUUCGUCCACAGAAGUGAUGAGCAGCAGCUUCCUUCUUUGUCUGGCUGAGCUACUGGGAGUCUUCUUUGGUCUUCAGUGGAGAUGAUGGAGAUGUUUCCACCAGAACUUUUCACAUUCAUCAGGAUGUUCUUUGUGCUGAUCAUUGGAUUCUAGCAGCUCUCUGAGAUGUUUCACAGUGUGGAACUCUUCUACUUCUUAACGAUGCUUUGCUCUCUGGACACUGGACCUUCUAGCCUUCUCUGAGCUUUUUGCUUUAAUCCAUGACUGUAACUGAUUACAGAACUAAAGUAUCAUCUGAUCUCAGUUUAUGUGUUGGUAAAUUAACAAGCAACAGAUACUUUAUUCAUCCCUUUGUGAAAUUCAGGGUCUCCGGUGUCUCAUACGUAUUACAUUUAAGAAAAAUAAGAACCCUAAUGUUUAACAUCAUGAAGAGACACGUGCAAAUAAUAUGCAUAGUUGUGCUGAUAUUUACAAUAAAGAAGAGUAUGUUUUUUAACACUUUGAUAAGUAAAUGUAUGGGGCGUUGAAGUGCAUAUAUGAUAUAAAAAAACUAAGGAAAUUACUUCACAAUCGAGUAAUACUAUCAAAAUCAUAAAACUGAGCAAAAUACAUGACAGUACAGGUGCAUUGUCUUAGUUUCUUAGAGUAUUUUUUAGUAAAAAAUGUAGAAAUAGAAAUCUAUUCCCUCUAACACAAUGUUUCACCGUCUUUAGUCAUUUAUUUUUCGUUUCCAGUCAGAAGAAUCCUUCAUGGGUAUGAAUAAUUUGAGGCUUAUUUGUACAUCAAGACAACAGCAUUUAGAUCUUAAAUAGACGUUUUUAUAUUUACUGUGCUGCUAAAGCUGACCUUUAAUUUAUUUUUGAUUCAUUCAUUGUUGUUUAAUCUUUGUCUUAUUGCUGAUUUUGGUCCUUUUCUGAAGCACUUUGUGACUUUGUUAAGAAACCUGAUGUAUAAAUUAAGCUUAAUAUCAGUAUUUCUUUAAAUCCUGAGAUAUUUUCUCCUGUGUGAUGUGUAUUUUCAGCAGCUGUGUGUUUCCUAUAAGCUCGUGUUUCAUGUUUUAAUGAUCAGGAUGCUGAACUACGUAUUAAUGACACGUGUGCAGUACAAACGGUGUUGUAAACAUUCUGUAGAUUCACAGAUUUGAAGCAUUUAAUAUUGAAAAAUAAAAAGUAUAAGUUAAUUAGUUGUAAAA